rnacentral:rRNA from 1 species
AUUGAACGCUGGCGGCAGGCCUAACACAUGCAAGUCGAACGAGUGGCGGACGGGUGAGUAAUGUAGGAGAAACUGCCUGAUGGAAGGGGAUAACUACUGGAAACGGUAGCUAAUACCGCAUACCAUCAGCUGUGCCCAGAUGGGGUUGGCUUGUUGGUGGGGUAACGGCGCACAAAGGCGAAGAUCCCUAGCUGGUCUGAGAGGAGGAGCGGCCACACUGUAACUGAGACACGGGCCAGACUCCGACGUGAGGCAUCAGUGGGGAAUAUUGCACAAUGGGCGCAAGCCUGAUGCAGCCAUGCCGCGUGUAUGAAGAAGGCUGUCGGGUUGUAAAGUACUUUCAGCGGGGAGGCGUUACCCGCAGAAGAAGUACCGGCUAACUCCGUGCCAGCAGCCGCGGUAAUAC